rnacentral:rRNA from 1 species
GACGAACGCUGGCGGCGUGCUUAAUACAUGCAAGUCGAACGCAGUGGGGACGGGUGAGUAACACGUGGGUAACCUCCCAUCAGAGGGGAUAACACUUGGAAACAGGUGCUAAACCGAUACUGUUGGCUGGACCCGCGGUGCAUUAGCUAGCUGGUGAGGUAACGGGUCACCAGGGCCACGAUGCAUAGCCGACGUGGGAGGGUGAUCGGCCACACUGGGGCUGAGACGCGGCCCAGACGCCGACGGGAGGCAGCAGUAGUGAAUCUGCGGCAAUGGACGAGAGUCUGGCCGAGCGACGCCGCGUGAGUGAAGAAGAUUUUCGGAUCGGAAAACUCUGUUGUUGGAGAAACGGUAUCUAACCAGAAAGCCACGGCUAACUACGUGCCAGCAGCCGCGGUAAUUC